UCCGGUUUGUCACCGGCAGUCCCAUUAGAGUGCCCAACUGAAUGUAGCAACUAAUGGCAAGGGUUGCGCUCGUUGCGGGACUUAAGGCAACAUCUCACGGCACGAGCUGACGACAGCCAUGCACCACCUGUGCACUAGCCCCGAAGGGCUGGCGUAUUUCUACGACAUUCCAGUGCAUGUCAAGUCUCGGUAAGGUUCUUCGCGUUGCGUCGAAUUGAACCACAUGCUCCGCUGCUUGUGCGGGCCCCCGUCAAUUCCUUUGAGUUUUAGCCUUGCGGCCGUAGUCCCCAGGCGGCGGACUUAAUGCGUUAGCUGCGGCGCCGAGGGGGUCGAUACCCCCGACACCUAGUCCGCAUCGUUUACGGCGUGGACUAC
rnacentral:misc_RNA from 1 species